rnacentral:rRNA from 1 species
GAAAGCUUGCUUUCUUGCUGACGAGUGGCGGACGGGUGAGUAAUGCUUGGGAAUCUGGCUUAUGGAGGGGGAUAACGACGGGAAACUGUCGCUAAUACCGCGUAUUAUCGGAAGAUGAAAGUGCGGGACUGAGAGGCCGCAUGCCAUAGGAUGAGCCCAAGUGGGAUUAGGUAGUUGGUGGGGUAAAUGCCUACCAAGCCUGCGAUCUCUAGCUGGUCUGAGAGGAUGACCAGCCACACUGGAACUGAGACACGGUCCAGACUCCUACGGGAGGCAGCAGUGGGGAAUAUUGCGCAAUGGGGGGAACCCUGACGCAGCCAUGCCGCGUGAAUGAAGAAGGCCUUCGGGUUGUAAAGUUCUUUCGGUAUUGAGGAAGGUUGAUGUGUUAAUAGCACAUCAAAUUGAC